CCAACGGCCGCUGUGUAGGUGAGAGUACAGACUUGGGCCGGAGCGCGGGGCCUAGGCGGGCUAGCGCGAGACGCGGAGUGGAGAAGACACUUUUACUGCGUGGCGCGCGGUGAGGGCACUCGAGCCCUGGACCUGCCGCGCCCGCUCGAUUUUCCGCGGCUGUUUAAGGAGUAGCGCUUCGGUAGCCGGGGAGCUGGAGGGGAACCUGAUUUGAAAUCAAUUCUUGAAGAACACAAAGAAGUGUGGUGGUAUGUUCCAGGAUUGAACCAGCUGCCCUUUGACCCUGCCAACAACAACGAGCCCCUGCAGUUUGGUAGUGCCAGUGGCCCUCUGGUCACAGAAGGCCUCAUUGAGAAUGGAGGGGAAUCAAGCAAGAAAAGAAAGAGAACAAAUACUCC
ensembl:lncRNA